UCUUUCUUCAACUGGGGCUAAGGGCCUAUUUGGUUUACAAGGGUAGAGGAACUUUGACGUGGCUCUUGUCUUCGCGAGAUGCAGUGGUUAAUUGCAUGAUAACCGUCAGAUCUCCAGCAUGUGCAGUACUUUCAUUUAACACCUUUAUAGAACAGCUUCAAGGCUGGCAGAGAGAGCAAAAUCAUGUGACAUUGCCUCACUUCCUGUAACUGCUCAAACUACAAGGCUCUAGAGUAAAGAGACAAGAUCACUCACUGGCUAUGAUUUGGUACAUAACAAUGGAACAAUGUCCCAGCCAACUGAAUGAUAGAAUAAGACAUUUAACAUUGUCAAAUGCUACAGACAAGUUGAGAAGGAUGAUGAGAGCCAGUUUGACACAGUUACAUAAUGUAUUAUUCAGGCACAUUAAACA